AGAAAAAAUUGUAUUAGAGCCCGAAGUAAGCUGCGAGAAACACGUAGUGAAACGAUUGGAAGCCGAACAACAAAUCAAGGAAGCGAAACUCAAACAAAUCUCAACCUGGGUUUGCAGCAGCCCAUUUUUCCUUGAAUGCCAAUUUUUCCUUUUUGGGUCUAGUCUUCAAACUUUGGAUACCGGCAUAAUGCUCUUCGAUCUCUUUCAGAGAUCUUCCUUCUGUUUCUGGCAAUAUGAAGUAGAGUAGAAUACCACCAACGAAAUUGAUCAAAGCGUAAAAGAAAAACGUCCCAGGAAAAACCUCUCCUGCCAGAACCCAAGGGAGUAACCUGAUCCCUCCAUGAGAUAAGAAAGCAGCACCGAUCAACAGUGUAGUGGGAAACCAUGUGAGAUUUUCAGAAUUAA